UGGGGAAUAUUGCACAAUGGGGGAAACCCUGAUGCAGCGACGCCGCGUGAACGAAGAAGGUAUUUGUAUCGUAAAGUUCUGUCCUAUGGGAAGAUAAUGACAGUACCAUAGAAGAAAGCUCCGGCUACAUACGUGCCAGCAGCCGCGGUAAUACGUAUGGAGCGAGCGUUGUCCGGAAUUAUUGGGCGUAAAGGGUACGCAGGCGGUUUAAUAAGUCGAAUGUUAAAGAUCGGGGCUCAACCCCGCAAAGCAGUGGAAACUGAUAAACUGGAGUAGUGGAGAGGAAAGUGGAAUUCCUAGUGUAGUGGUGAAAUACGUAGAUAUUAGGAGGAAUACCAGUAGCGAAGGCGACUUUCUGGACACAAACUGACGCUGAGGUACGAAAGCGUGGGGAGCAAACAGG
rnacentral:rRNA from 1 species